CUACUCAAGCUUCAGUAAUGGUGGACGCUUCUCCUGCCACAAAGCUCCAACGUCCCAGGUCGACCCCAGACUGCUGUGCUCGCGGUGCCACUGGGGUAUGAAAAAAACUCCUGCAGCUAGCAGGACCAGAUGUAUUCACAGCUGAAUUCUACCAGAGGUACAAAGAGGAGCCGGUACUGUUCCUUCUGAAACUAUUUCAAACAAUAGAAAAAAAGGGACUCCUCCCUAAUGCAUUUUAUGAGGCCAGCAUCAUCCUGAUACCAAAACCUGGCAGAGACACAACAAAAAAAGAAAACUUCAAGCCAAUGUCCCUGAUAAAUAUUGAUGCGAAAAUCCUCAAUAAAAUACUGGCACACUAAAUCCAGCAGCACAUCAAUAUCUUAUCCACCAUGAUCAAGUCGGCUUCAUCCCUGGGAUGAAAGGCUGGUUCAACAUACACAAAUCAAUAAACGUAAUCCAUCACAUAAACAGAACCAAUGACAAAAACCACAUGAUUAUCUCAAUAGAUGCAGAAAAGGCCUUCAAUAAAAUUCAACACCCCUUCACACUAAAAACUCUCAAUAAACUAGGUAUUGAGGGAACGUAUCUCAAAAUAGAAGAGCUAUUUAUGACAAACCCACAGCCAACAUCAUACUGAAUGGGCAAAAGCUGGAAGCAUUCCCUUUGAAAACCGCCACAAGAUAAGGAUGCCCUCUCUCACAACUGAUAUUCAAUAUAGUAUUGAAAGUUCUGGCCAGGGCAAUCAGGCAAGAGAAAGAAAUAAAGGGUAUUCAAAUAGGAAAAGAGGAAGUCAAAUUUUCUCUGUUUGCAGAUGACAUGAUUGUAUAUUUACAAAACCCCAUCGUCUCAGUCAAAAAUCUCCUUAAGCUGAUAAACAACUUCAGCAAAGUCUCAGGAUACAAAAUCAAAGUGCAAAAAUCACAAGCAUUCCUAUACACAAAUAAUAGACCAACAGAGAGCCAAAUCAUGAGUGAACUCCCAUUCACAAUUGCUACAAAGAAAAUAAAAUAGCUAGGAAUACAACUUUCAAGGGAUGUGAAGGACCUAUUCAAGCAGAACUACAAACCAGUGUUCAAGGAAAUAAAAGAGGACACAAACAAAUAGAAAAACAUUCCAUGCUCAUGGAUAGGAAGAAUCAAUAUUGUGAAAAUGGCCAUACUGCCCAAAGCAAUUUAUAGAUUCAGUGCUAUAUCCCCAUCAAGCUACCUUGACUUUCUUCACAGAAUUACAAAAAACUACUUUAAAUUUCAUAUGGAACUGAAAAAGGGCCCACAGAGCCAAGACAAUCCUAAGCAAAAAGAACAAAGCUGGAGGCAUCAUGCUACCUGACUGCAAACUAUACUACAAGGCUACAGUAACCAACACAGCAUGGUACUGGUACCAAAACAAAUAUAUAUAUCAAUAGAACAGAACAGAGGCCUCAGAAAUAACACCACACAUCUUCAACCAUCUGAUCUUUGACAAACUUGACAAAAACAAGCAAUGGGGAAAGGAUUCCCUAUUUAAUAAAUUGUGCUGGGAAAACUGGCUAGUCAUAUUCAGAAAAUUGAAACUGGACCUUUUCCUUACACCUUACAUACAAAUUAACUCAAGAUGGAUUAAAGAAUUAAAUAUAAGACCUAAAACCAUAAAAAACCCUAGGAGAAAACCUAGGCAAUACCAUUCAGGACAUAGG
rnacentral:lncRNA from 10 species